AAAAAAGGACAAAAUGCCAUUUAUCAAAGAUUACAAUUGUAUUAGUCUUUCAGAAAUAGAUCUGUUCAACUGCAUCUAUUUUAUCGCAGUUGUGCCUUCUGAUUACGGUUGGUAACAGUUAACACAGUAGCAGCAUUUGUUCAGCCAGUUCAGACCAACAAUGAUUUCAGUAAAUUAAACUGUAAAAAAACAGGGCAUGUACUCUUGUGUAAUCAAGACAUCUCCAUGUACCACUUAUGAGCAGAUGUACUAAGGUCAGUAGCAGAUUUGAUACUGGCAAAACCAGGGUGGCAAUUUUGCCUCUAAAUCAGGCAAGAAAUACAACACAUUUGCCUUUAACCUUACAGCAACCAGAUCUUGUAGACUAGGCAUCACUGAGAAUGCAGGGGAAACUGGAUUUUUUUUAUUUAUUCAUUCAUUUGUCAUAAAGUUUUCAAGAGAUUCACACUUUUAAUGAAUAUUUUAAUGUAUGUAUAAUGAAGUUUCAGCAUGCUGGACCUUAGGAAAAAACUUUCAAGAUUGGAUAUAGGAUGAUAAAUAACAUACCUCAUUCCUACACAGGGCCCAAAUUCCAGGGGUGCUGAACAUUCCCUAAAAUAUUUGUCUGGAAUAAACUGAGUUUGGUUCUAACUCCUCAGGCUCCUCCAGAAAUUCUCAGGCAAUGAGGCAUCUAUGCAAUGUGCUACAGAAACAGGAGAUGGAGGAUGUGGUUGGAGCAACCCCUGCGCAGAGAGCAGCUGGACCCAGUCACAUAGGGAAUAUUGCCUAUGCUCUGAGGUAAGGCUCAGACACAGAGGAAUAAUAUUUCAGAAGUUUCAGGUGGAUAGUUUUUAUUUUCAAAACGCAGUAGGGAAUGUAAGGAUUUGCCUCUGGCACUUGGUAGAGACCUGGGAAAGAUAAAGUACAAGGAUCCCAAACUAAGAGGAAGACAAAGAUGAUUCUUCUACAGGCAGAAUCCAUCCAAGUCAAAAUCCAAUCCAAAACCCAUCUACUUACUCAACAUAGACUGGAAAAGUUGUAUUUUAGAUACAAAAUUUGACUUGUGUCCUCUUCCCAUCUAUAUUGUUUAACACGCCGUUUAGUAUAUAUUCUCAUGUCAGUGAAUGAGGAGAGUUAAUAUGACAGCUGACUGGAUGUGCACUGGGAUCUUAUUAAUCGUACCAAGUGUUAUUUAUCUUAGCUACCCAAGCUUUAAAAAAAAAA